CAUCUACCUGGUGCCACUCCUUCAGAGCAGCAUGAGGUUAGAUGUCUUGCUAGAGGCCACAGUGGUGCUAUAACAAGAGCACAACAUCUGAACAGCUCUCCAGGUGAUGGAGGACCCCCGCUCUGGAAAGGAUCCCACAAAGUUAGAUGCCGGAUCAUUAGUUUCCCAGCAGCCCGAAGGAUCGAAACAGCAGGGCUGCCAGUCUGUGCUCUGUUUAUCUCUUUGAAAUGUGCUCUCUUUACGUCAACUCAUAUUCCUUGGCCUGUGAGCGAAUACCUGAGACUUGAGAGGGAGAAUGUGCUCUCAGCAUCUCCACUGGGACGGACUUCUAUAGAGGGACGUGGAACCCAUGCCUGCUGCUCCAUUAUUAAUGAACCGUUGAGUCCUCAGCACACUCUCUGUCUGCUGCGAAAGAUGACGAUAUGUUCACUGAUGGACUGGAGUGCUGUGGAUUACUUGUGGAUUAUUGUGAUGUUUUUAUCAGCUGUUUGGACUCUCAUUCUGACGGCACCCAUUCACUGCAGAUCAUCCAUUGAUGAGACACUGAUGCAGUGCUACAUUUCUACAAACCUGAUGAAGAAACAAACUCAUCUACAUCUUGAACGGCUUGAGGGGGAGUACAUUUUCAGCAAAUUUUCAUUUUUUUGUAAACUAUAUUCUUUUAACAUAAUUUUGUGCUUGAUGUCUGCCAAAAUUUAAAGGCAUGGAAGAUCAUGAAAACAAACACUGGAAUCAUGUACAAUGUGACCACUAGCAUAAAGGAAGUAAAUCUGGUCUGUUUUGAAUUCGUGUUGAUUAUAAAGUGCGAGCCGACAGAUAGGUUAGUUGAAGUGGGCGGGGCAUGUUCUCUCAGUUACAUAUGCCUGGAAAUUUCCGUUGUAUGUCUCCGUCUGCUCCAGGAUGGGAGGGGUGUGUGUGUUAUGGAGAAGUAGAGAGCAGUGGUUUGGGACUGGAGACGGGGUUUGAGAGUUGGCCAUGAGCCAGACCCAGCAGGAAGCUUGCUGGUUCACACGGACAAAAGCAGUAAUGACUAGUUCCAAGGAUGUCUGUGGUGGACAUGACUGUCAUCAUCCACCCCAACCCCCUUCAACAGUGUCUCUCUUUUUCAUCAAAGCCAAUGUCCGAUCCAUUGUAGACAAGACUUCAGUUCUGAGAAAACACUUUAAAGCCAUAGAAUUGUUAGUUAUGCACUUUGUGUGCACCUUCUAUAUAUUAGUAUUUACCUGAGCUUGUGGAAAAACUGAUUCAUUAUGUGGCUGUCUCUUGGUUUUAAGGUGGUUGUCAGUAUAUUAUCAAGGUAAAAAAAAAAACAGACUUUGGCCACCUCAGGUGCCUUUUUUUUUUACGAUGAAUUAAAAAAUAAAUGUAAGUGUGUGGUUACUCUGUGUGAACUU
ensembl:lncRNA